rfam:Tropilaelaps mercedesae isolate Wuxi-XJTLT scaffold0000027530, whole genome shotgun sequence.
GCCAUCGGUCAUACCACUUUGAAUACCUCGGUUCUUGUCCAAUCACCGAAGCUUAACAACGGUAGGCCCGGGAGGUACUUAGAAGGGAGAUUGCGUCCGAACACCGGGUGUUGAUGGCA